GAUAGUGCCAUUGCACUGCAACCUGGGCAACAGAGCAAGACUCUGUCUCAAAAAAAAAAAAAAAAAAAAAAAAAAAGAAAAGAAAAGAAAGGGAAGAUGAGGGCAGAAGUCAAUGAAAUGAAAAAAAGACAAACAAUAGAGAAAAUCAACAGAAACAAAAGUUCUUUGAAAUGACUAAUAUAAUUGAUAAAUUCCCUCAUAACAUGAUAGAGAGAGAGAGAGAUUAAGGGAGAAACAAACAAAUCAAAUUAUCAAUUACCAACAUCUCCAAUGAAAAGGGGGGCAUCACUGCAGAUCUUAAAGAUAUUAAAAGGAUAACAAGGGAAUAUCAUGAAUGUAUUGGAAAUGGAGAAAAUCCUUUGAAAAACACAACUGCAUAAAUCUGACAGAAGUAAAAAAAAAUCUGAGUAGUCAUAUUUGCUAAAGAAAUUAAAUCUAUAAUUUAAGACCUUCCCACAAAGAAGGUGACAUUUUAUCAGGAACCUGAAUAACAUGAGUAUCUUAGGCUGCCAUAACAAAUUACCACAAACUUAGUGGCUUAAACAACACAAAUAUAUUAUCUUACAGUUCUGAAGCUCAGAAGUCCAAUGAGGGUAUUACCCGGCCAUGAUCAAGGUGUUGGCAGGACUGCAUUGGCGGAUGGAGUCCCUCUCAUGCUUUGACUCAGUCUCUCUCCAAUUAGUGUCUACUUUCUGACUUAGCCAGGAAGAUUUUCUGCUUUUUCUGUCUUCAAGGAUUCAUGGUUACAUCGGGCCCACCCAAUAAUCCUGAAUCAGCUCCCCAGCUUGCCUGCCACAAAAUAGAUAGGAGGGAGGGAGGCAUGUGGCUCUCUGGGGAGAGGGUAUUCCAGGCAGAGGGAUGCAAAGUGCAGACUCAGUCAGGGCCACUGUGUC
rnacentral:lncRNA from 1 species